AAAUAAAAAAAAUUCUAAUUUCGACUUAGAAAACUAUGAUAAACUCAUUUUAUUUA
rnacentral:tRNA from 1 species